GACGAACGCUGGCGGCGUGCUUAACACAUGCACGUCGAACGGAGUGGCGAACGGGUGAGUAACACGUGGGUGAACUGCCCUGCACUUCGGGAUAAGCCUGGGAAACUGGGUCUAAUACCGGAUAGUGUGGGAUGGGCCCGCGGUCUAUUAGCUUGUGGGUGGAGUACUGGCCUAACAAGGCGGCGACUGGUAGCCGGCCUGAGAGGGUGGACGGCCCAGUUGGUACUGAGACACGGCCCCGACACCUACGGGGGGCAGUAGUGGGGAAUAUUGCCCAAUGGUCGGAAGCCUGAUGGAGGAACGCUGCGUGGGUGAUGACGGCCUACGGGUUGUAAACUCCUAUCACCAUGGACGCGUGGGAUGGAGAAGAGGCACCGGCUAACUACGUGCCAGCAGCCGCGGUAAUAC
rnacentral:rRNA from 1 species